GGAAGUAAAAGUCGUAACAAGGUUUCCGUAGGUGAACCUGCGGAAGGAUCAUUACCGAGUGGCUGUAUUCGCGGUUUCCUUUGGGAGACGCGAAGCUACCCGACCUGAUGUCAUUCUAUCCGAGGGCGCGUCCGCUUGAGACAGCGGUUCAGACGCUGGAGUUACCCGGACGAGACGCUAGUCUCGAAAGGGGAAGCUCCGGGUCGGGCCGUGGCGCGCUUCUCGGCACAAAUUUCCGCGGAAGAGGUAGGCGUUGACCUGCCCGCCGCGGGCCGUACUUUUCACAACUCUUGAAGAAAACCUGAAGUCUGAACACAAAACAAAAAUGAAAAGCAAAACUUUCAACAACGGAUCUCUUGGCUCUGGCAACGAUGAAGAACGCAGCGAAACGCGAAAGGUAAUGCGAAUUGCAGAAUCAGUGAGUCAUCGAAUCUUUGAACGCACAUUGCGCCUCUCGGUAUUCCGGGAGGCACGCCUGUUCGAGCGCCAUUACAAACUCCAAGCGUGGCUUGAUGUUGGGCGAUGUCUUUUUUGCGAGAGCGAAGACACGCCUGGAACGCGUUGGCGCCGCCGCCGGACCACGAGCGUAGCAAGACGAGAGUCAAUCGCAUCGAUUUUGGUUUCCGACGGAGGUCCGCCUUUGGAUUGGAUCUUUGAUCCAUUCCUACAACUUCUCAAAAGUUUGGCCUCGGAUCAGGCGGGGAUACCCGCUGAACUUAAGCAUAUCAAUAAGCGGAGGA
rnacentral:rRNA from 1 species